GGUGGAGUUCUACGGUCACCAUAACGGCGGAUUGUCCUCCCAUCCGCCAGGUGGCGCGAGUGUCUUCGUGAGUAAGAAAUAUUUGCCAUUUGUUUCCGAGACGCUGACUGAAAGUGUCUUCCAAGUUGAUUGGUGUCGAGCUACAUUUUUAGCUAUUAGAUGUAAUUGGCAAUCUGGCAUAUAAUUUCACUUGGCCAAAUGUGAUGACGUGGGUCGAAACUGCUGUCCAUUUUGUCGAAAUGUCAGCCAUUGUUAGCUGUACGUCUCAUCUCGUGCAACUUCAAAGCUAGUAAAUUGAUUUUCAGGUCGGAAAUGCUUUCCUUUGCUCAACUGUUGCAGAAAUUUAGAACACGACAAAGUCUGAGCUUCAUGGUUGUAGCUUGUAGUAUCAUUAAUGUGGUUUUGUUGCAGCCAGCUGGUGAUAGGUGUGAUUGAGUCAUGGUUGAGUUGCAGCUUCUGCAUGCAGUUUAUCGAGCUGGUGCUAUCCUAAGUGUAACUGCAGGAAAACUUCUUGAAUUGCCAGGUGAAGUCUGCGCUUCUUUGUUGCAGUCUAAUUUGUGCUUGGAUUCGUUGCAGUCAUCCAGUGAAAGGUGUGAUUAAAUUGAGCUGUUGCAUGCAGUCUUUGGUGCUGAUGUUGUCCUGGAGUGUGGGAGAUACCCAUGCUUCAAGUCUUCUGGGAGCAGCCAUAUCUGAGUUGACGCUGGAUCAUGCUGCAUUGUGGUUGCUGAAAUGUUGGACAUUAGUAGAACUGCAAGAUGACUCCUUGAAAUGGUUUAUGUUUACGUAGCAGUGAUGUUGCUGUCAAAUAUGGCAUGUUGUUGCAGCCUAUACUGGUGAAAGAUUUUUUGGAUCGAGUUAUGCUGUUGCUGUUCCUUGGUGCCGGACUGCUAGUGUUAUGCACAAAAGUUACAUCCAGUUUUAAUUGUUAUUUGUGUCUGCAGUUAACCGUUUAUAUGUUGAAAAAGGAACAGAAAAGUUCCUUGGUGUUGAAUCGCUGGUGUUGUGCUUCAUAAGUUACAUCCAGUAUUUU